UCAUGUCGGCCGCUCACCAUCUACCCCCCGCGCAUCACCACGGACGCUGCGGCUGUUGGCGGCUCCCCUCGCCCCUGCUACCAUGGUACCGCCGGGACUCCUCCCCGCUGCUUCCACCUCGACAAUGGUUCCCUCAACCCCGCUGGAUUCGUCACCAGCCACUCCUUCCCGACGCACUCUGCCCGUCGUCGGUCCCAUCCACCUGGCUCACGCUGCGAAUACCGCCGCUGAGUGCAUUGAAAUCCAACGCAUGGGACCUCGCCUCUUGCCGCCCCGCUCGAGGUUGGGCAACCCCUACCCUACUACAAGGUGAACUCUGCUUGAGUACACACCCACGGGGUGUCCGGCAGGGACUCCUUUGCCCGUUCUGCAAGCCGAUGUAGGCACAUAGAAGAACACCUUGACCCCUCAACGGAAACCCUUGCUCAAUUGCUUCCCAUCCUUGACUUUGCAGCAUCGCCGUUUUGCUGACUUUGCCAAAAUCUCGCCGUUUUGCGACUCCACUGAAAUUUCGUCCGCCUGUUCUCCAUGCAUGGUUCAUAAUAAUCUGGGUUGCACCAACUGCUUUUGGUUGGCGAUGACUGCCAUGCAGUUCUCGCCAUGUUUGAACCACUCUUCACAUGGACAUCCCUAUGCUCCUUAUCUUACUGGUCACCAUUAUUGUUGAUUGUUUCUCCUUCUGUUCUUUUAUGUUAUCCAAUAGGUAUUCUCUUACUACAUAUAUUUCUGGAGGACUAAAGAGCAUGCCAUCCCUGAUUAAACAUUGGUUGUGUUGAUAGAUUAAACCCCAACAUUUUCUAUAUGAAUGUUCUUUCAUCCAAUUAAUCAUUUGUUUAGUUUUAGAUAUUAGACCCAAAUUUGUUUAUGCAUUGGACUAGAAAUAGCACAACUGCAAUAUUUUUUUUAUUAAUUUUCAUAGUAAAGAUUUUACAGCCGAUGACCCACUGUACGCAGACCCCACAUUCCGGUUAGCCUCAUACUAUGGAGAUGUUUGACGAGAUGUGCGGCAAUAGUUUCAGUAAGUUCGUGUGCUCGAUUUUAACAUGGCAGAUAUGUCAAUGUGUGCUUCUCAGUACUGUACGUGAGGUACCAUGCGGGGUGGUGACCCGACAUAUGCUGGCAAGGCCAAAGAGUCGGCUCGCUUAGAUCAGGCUGCUGGAGCCUCUUGUGCUCGGAUGUCUGCUAGAGGUAAGUUUUGUAGCCUCUUUUUAUUAGUAGAUGUUCUUGGUGUCUUGAGUUACCAUUCAGACCGUGUCUUCAGUGGAAGCUGCAGCUAUGUUGCCUGGCCCUACUAUUCCUGUACCAUCUCAUGCAUUAGGUUUUCUGAAGUUUCAGCCAGCCCUAUGCCAUGUUCUUUGUUAGUGUUUCAAAACAUAUUAUGUCUGUGCUCUCCUUUCUCUGUCUAAAAUAUCCAUUAUGCCAUCCUUUUGGUCAUAUCACCGUAAAAGUCUGUGAGAGAUGUUACAACAAUAGUGAUUAUUUAUUGUGAAUUUCAUCGGCAUUCAAAUACAGAGAAAACUGCAGGUUUCUAAGAAUCAGAUGUUUAUGAAAGACUCUUUUCCUGAAACUUCCUAAAGUUUUUCAAUCAUUAAUGGCAAAUAGAUUGAUUUCCCCCUCCUUCUGCCGUGAACAUUCAGUUUCCAAAAUUGUUUGCAUAUGUGGAAAGCAUGAGAUUUCACAUUUCAGACAAUUCUCCAGCAAAUGUAUUUUUGUGUCUUUUGUUUCAAAAUUAGACAUGAGUUUUGCAAUUUGAUGGCUUAGACAGAUGAUUAGUACGAUCUGCUGUUCCAUUCAAAUGGCACGAGUGGUUGCACCAUGUAGGCAACUAGGCAUUCGACCUGAAACAAAUCUAGGAUAAUUUAUUGAGAUGUUAAUUGCCUUGGAGCUUCUGGCUUAACUUGAUCUCAGGCUGCACAACCCAGACGUGGAAAAGCAUGUUAUACAACAUCUCAUUUUCUACUAAGAUACGCAGUAGGAAAGCAAGGACCAAUUACGCUUGAUCUGAAGUCAUCAGCUUUUGACCCAAAGGAGAAAGUAUGGACAAGGUUCCCACCAGAAGGCUCAAAAUAUACCCCUCCACAGAGUUCUUGUGAUUUCAGAUGGAAAGAUUACUGCCUCCAAGUAUUCUGACAUUGCGCAAGUUGUUCAAGGUUGAUGCAGCAGAUUGUAUGCUAUCCCUUUGUGGGGACCAGGCUCUCCGAGGGCUCUCAUCCCCUGGUAAGAGUGGAAGCUUCUUUUAUCUCACGAGCAAUUAUCAUUACAUGAGAAAGACGAUGAAGAAAUAGGGAGUAAAGGUACUAUGUUGCCUAUUCAGGGACCUCACCUUCAUGAGACUAGCAAGGGGUAGAUGUUAGAAAGGAGAUAUGAGGUGAGUUUCUGAAGUUCACCAUCCAAUCCAGGCAUCGAAGUUGAGCAUUAUUACUAUUCAAAGGGAUGAAGUAUUAAUCGGUUAAUUUACUUUUACAGAAGUAAACCGGUUAGUAUCUUACUGAAUAACUAUGAUCUAGCUACAAUUUUCAAUGCAGUAAUGUUUGUGCCCAGGCUCUGAUCUGUGUGCCCUUUAUGGUCGACUUGAAGACACUGACCAUAUCCUUUUUAGAUGCGACCCAGAUUCUGCUUUCUGGUGCUGCAUUCGCUCCAUUAUGAAUGUUUAAUGGGAUCCUCUCUCUUUUCAUGAGCCAAGGGUCCUGGCUGUGAGCUUCUCUGGGCAAGUUAAGCGUAUCUUUUGGUCUGGGUUUUCGGCAUGUGUUGGGUGAUAUGGACCACUAGGAACAAAUUUAUGAUUGGGCAUAUUUUUUCCAACAAACCUACUGACCCAUUAUUCAAACUUGUUUCUCGCCUACAGUUGUUAGAAUAAAACGCUAAUGCAAGAUCAUAGAUGACACACCGAGGCAUGAUAUUUGUUAACAAGGUUCACCAAUAGGGCUACAUCCCCGGGGCAUGACUACGGGCGCUCCUCCCCAAGAUAUCGCAACACCGGCCGCCCGAGCGCCGGCUCAAGCCGUUGGCUCCCCCGCGUACCUGCUGCUAUCAAGUCAUCAUGGGUUACAACUUGUGGUGCCCCUCGAUAUAUAAGAGGUUUAGGAUACAAUGUGCCCGACUUCUACACGACUUGUACCUAACCACACCAAUUACAACUCCAAGUCCAUGUAACCCCUUGCGUACAUAAUAUUCGACGCAAGUAUAACAAACUCCACCUUGGCGAAUAUUCUCCACCACCUAAAAGUCAUCCAUGCUCGAACCUCCAUGUACUCCGGACUUGGGUUGUCUUCUUUGUAGCUUACUGAGAGCUACCCGACGGGCCAGAUUCGUCGCCACCAUGGGACUCCACUGCUACUCCUGCAACUCCACUCUCCAUGGCUCCACCUGCAACAUUGCUCCCUUGCAACUUAUAAAGAUGUGAAGCCAUCCUCUCUCCUAUCAUCACGGUCA